CCUACGGGGCGCUGCAGUGGGGAAUAUUGGACAAUGGGCGAAAGCCUGAUCCAGCCAUGCCGCGUGUGUGAAGAAGGCCUUCGGGUUGUAAAGCACUUUCAGUGGGGAAGAAAGCCUUGGGGCUAAUACCCUCGAGGAAGGACAUCACCCACAGAAGAAGCACCGGCUAACUCCGUGCCAGCAGCCGCGGUAAUACGGAGGGUGCGAGCGUUAAUCGGAAUUACUGGGCGUAAAGCGCGCAUAGGCGGUCUGAUAAGCCGGUUGUGAAAGCCCCGGGCUCAACCUGGGAACGGCAUCCGGAACUGUCAGGCUAGAGUGCAGGAGAGGAAGGUAGAAUUCCCGGUGUAGCGGUGAAAUGCGUAGAGAUCGGGAGGAAUACCAGUGGCGAAGGCGGCCUUCUGGACUGACACUGACGCUGAGGUGCGAAAGCGUGGGUAGCAAACAGGAUUAGAUACCCGGGUAGUC
rnacentral:rRNA from 1 species